GACGAACGCUGGCGGCGUGCUUAACACAUGCAAGUCGAACGCUGAAGCCCUUCGGGGUGGAUGAGUGGCGAACGGGCGGGUAACACGUGGGUAAUCUGCCCUGCACUCUGGGAUAAGCCUUGGAAACGGGGUCUAAUACCGGAUAGGACACAUCGCCGCAUGGUGUGUGUGUGGAAAGUCCCGGCGGUGCAGGUUGAGCCCGCGGCCUAUCGGCUUGUUGGUGGGGUGAUGGCCUACCAAGGCGACGACGGGUAGCCGGCCUGAGAGGGGGACCGGCCACACUGGGACUGAGACACGGCCCAGACUCCUACGGGAGGCAGCAGUGGGGAAUCUUGCGCAAUGGGCGAAAGCCCGACGCAGCAACGCCGCGUGGAGGAUGACGGCCUUCGGGUUGUAAACCUCUUUCGACCGGGACGAAGGAUUCGUUUGACGGUACCGGUAGAAGAAGCACCGGCUAACUACGUGCCAGCCGCCGCAGUAA
rnacentral:rRNA from 1 species